GUUCGCUUAUUCCGUUGUCCUCGGGACGUUAAGGUGCUCUGGUCGAGGAUAAAAGACCCCUAUGACCGAGGUAAACGUAGUCGGUUCUGUGUUACCUCUUUUUUGGAGGCACACGUUAAAGAAUGUUCCGCAUUGUGAGUCUAACACCAGUUGUAAUGAACUUUUUACAACCGGUAGCGCUGGAUCCCUUGGCACGUCAUUCGAUGAAGACCGUUGCAAAUUGCGAUAAAGUGAUGUGAUGCGCAAGUCCACCACUUAUACGUGAAUCAUCGAGUUGUUGAACGCAUUGCACCGCGCCCUAAACCGGCUGCGGUAUGCCCCUUUGAGCGUCAUUGUAUUCCUUCGGGAGUCCUUUUACAGGACCCGAGUUCGGAGUCCUCGGUCCUCUUGUGGAUCGUGUUCUCUUAGAUGCGUCGCGCCGAUUGCCGGAUGGGUUCUCUAAUGCCUGAGCGUGGAGUUCCCUUCCAAGUGCAGAGGUGCUGGACCGGGUGUUGAGCUCGCGUCACCAAGUCCGCCGUCGUGCGGUACUACAACGCAUGACCUCAUUGGGGUAGGACAACCCGCUAGACUUAAGCAUAUUAAUCAGCGGAGGAAAAGAAACUAACCAGGAUUCCCUCAGUAACUGCGAGUGAAGCGGGAUCGGC
rnacentral:rRNA from 1 species